rnacentral:misc_RNA from 1 species
AAAUUUUCCAGCUCCUAUGACGCUUACCUCAUUAAUAAGCCUAGUAGGAACUCUACUUUCAACAACCUUAGCAGCAAUUAUAGAUCAUAAAGCUUCAUCAUGGAGAUUGUCCUGGGACAACACUCUUGUUGCUCCUAUAUAUAAUGGGAUUGUAAUCUUUGGAAUUACAAUUUUUGUGCAAACUAGGGUGAUACAGAUGAGGGGCCCUGUUUUCACGUCAGCAUUUAGGCCACUCACAACAGUAAUUGUAGCUAUUAUGGCACUUCUAAUUUUAGGCGAGGAAUUGCACUUGGGAGGGGUAAUUGGAGCUACAAUGAUAAUCCUUGGCUUGUAUGCAAUUCUAUGGGGAAAGGAA